GCUUUUUUAAACCAAGGACAUUUGUAUGAGAGCCUUCAUGUUAGUUGAGUACAACGAGAAGCAUGAAACAUGCUUUAAGUAUAUAAUUAUGAAGAUCCCAUACAUCUAAGAAUGGGGUAUGCUAGUUUGUGAAAUUUCUAUUUGUUUGGUUAGGUGUCGUGCAAUGAGGCUACACUUAGUGAGUUAUCAUUGACAUUACAGCCGAUUUGAUCGACCAAUAGUUGUUCUAGGCCUCAAGUCUUUUUUUAUGUUGGCAUAUAACGAGUGAAGAAGUUUAUAGCUUUAUUAUAUGUCACAUAUUCUCUUGCUUUUAUUUAAGAUACUUACACCUUUACUGCAUGAGAGUCAUAUAAGAUGGCAUCCAUUUCAUUUGUCUACUGUAGGCUCUAAAAAUGAUUUUCAGCCAUACGUUUUUUGUUGGUUAUGCAAUCUUCGAGUUGAAUGACUAGUAUCUUAUCGGUUAAUGACAGAUGCAGCAUCUAAUAGAAGUCUAAGUAUGUUCGGAACGAUAUCUUUCCAAUAAAGGUUAGUAGAAUGCCGCCCCCAUUCAUUGUCGUUCUCGUAUGUUACAUUUUGAACAACACAGGAGCUUUGGUCAUUGUAAAAGUUUAUCAUGCCCGACUUAUUUGAAACAGAAGAUGUUGACUAAAAAAUGAAGACGACUCAAAAUUGAUUGCUCGGAUGAGGUCAAUAUUAGGCCCGUUUACAGAGGUUGACAGGGGUGUCACCUGGAGAAGGAACGGAUGCGAGUGUGCGACAAUGUCAGAUGAUGAUGAUGAUCAAGUGGACGGUGAUGCGAAUUUGUUUGAUGGGAUGGGUUGCAGUGCUGGAUUGAUCUCUAUUGAUCUUGCCAAACAGCUGAAUAUAUACAGUUGAAUGCUUAGAGACAUCGUUACAAAAGCGAACAAAACACAAAAUGAAGAAGCAGUAUUGCAAGGGGAGCAGUUAGCCCUCAAAUUGAGCUUCACACUUGCAGCAUCUUGCUAUGCAACUAUGGCAAUCAGGGAGCUGCUCAAAACAUCAACUUCUAAGAGUUGCUUGGCAAAGGAAUGUGAAGAUGGAUGUUGCUGAUAGCCUGAUACUACUUGGAAGCUAGAUGAAGCUGGAUUUUUGAAGACAGUAGAUCUGUUUUUGUGUAGUGUAGAACUGUAGAUUUUGCUUUUGUAUUGUUUUAUACUUUUAUGUAUGGUUUAA